rnacentral:rRNA from 1 species
UUAUAAUCUACAAAUAAUAAUUAGUUACUAAUAACAACAGUUAAAAAACCAAAAACCUUGGCGGUGUUUAUACAAAACCAGGGGAACUUGUCACUUAAUAUGAUACCCCACAACUAUCUAACCAUAUCUAGAACUCCAGCUUGCAUACUGCCGCCCAGCUUAACCUAAAACGACAAGCAANCAAUUAAACAAAUAAUACUACAGGUCAAAGUGCAGCCAAUGAUAUGGGGUAAGAUGAGUUACACUUACUACACUAUAGNAAUAUUAAACUAAAUAUAGAACUUGACAGUAAUAAAAUUUUACUAUAACUUUAUAAACCCACAUAUAACAUGCACAUAUCGCCCGUCACUUUCGCUGAAAAACG